rfam:Patagioenas fasciata monilis isolate BTP2013 Sc31e1R_24, whole genome shotgun sequence.
GGUCUGUGAUGAGUUCUGGCAUGUAUUACCUGAGUGUAACUCUGAAGAUUAUCACUCUAGCUCUAGAAUUACUCUGAGACCUG